rnacentral:tRNA from 1 species
GGGCUUGUGGUUUAGUGGUAUAAUACUCCCUUAGCAUGAUCAAUCCAGUGAUCUACAAGAUAUCUCAUGAUAGCUUCGUGUCUAGGAUUUGUCUGAUAUGGGAGUGGUCCGGGGUUCGAUUCCCCGCGAGUCCA